AGCUCCAAUAGCGUAUAUUAAAGUUGUUGCAGUUAAAAAGCUCGUAGUUGGAUCUCGGGUCCAGGCUUGCGGUUCUGCUUGUGCAGACACUGCUCGUCCUGACCUACCAGCUGGUUGUCCCUUGGUGCCCUUGAUUGGGUGUCUCGGGUGGCCGGAACGUUUACUUUGAAAAAAUUAGAGUGUUCAAAGCAGGCAGAUCUGCCUGAAUAAUGGUGCAUGGAAUAAUGGAAAAGGACCUCGGUUCUAUUUUGUUGGUUUUCGGAACUUGAGGUAAUGAUUAAGAGGGACAGACGGGGGCAUUCGUAUUACGGUGUUAGAGGUGAAAUUCUUGGAUCGCCGUAAGACGAACUACUGCGAAAGCAUUUGCCAAGAAUGUUUUCA
rnacentral:rRNA from 1 species